ACAGUAAAAUCGCCAGUGUAAAAAUUCCAGUGUUAAAAGUUAUCUAUUCCUAAAGUGUUAAAUUAACAAUCUACAGUGUUAAAGGGUACUCCCCUUCAGUGUAGCCUACAGGGUGCCACAUAGUGUAAUUUUAUUUUUACACUGAAAGUGUAAAAAGACGCGCCGAAUUGUAUUGACUCCGCCCCUCGAUGCUUCUGCCUCACAAGACGACAGCGCCAUUUUAUCUUCAUGCGAGGAGCGAGACGGUAGGUUGAAUUGCCUUUCUCUUUCCUAAUAUUAAAUAGUAACUUACAUGCAUUUGUUUACAUUUUUAGUAAACUAUAGUGGUGAACACAUUUAGAAAUGAUCAACUGCGCGUUUUUGUAUGGGUUAAGGAAGCUCGUCAAGUUCAUGAGAUGCAGAGAUGUACCUAAGUUACAGAAGAAAAAGAAGAAACGUUUCUCAUGCCGAUAAAAUUUGUUAAAUAAAUGAGUUGGAAUGGGCUUACAAUUUGUUUUGUGUAUAUAUAUUCGGCUUAUUUCAUUUUGGUUUGUUGACAGACAUCGUGAAAGUUGCGUUCCCGCCUCCAGUCGCGCCAAGGCCUGGGUUAAAGACGAGCCUGGCGCUGAAGCUGACGAGGAGGUCUGAAGCGGCACCAUUUGGGCUUUUUGAGAGAAUUCUUCAAAUGAUUUUGCCCAGACCCCUGCAGUGUCAAGUGAAGGAAGCUCCUCUCAUGAGAAUGCAAAGAGAAAUGAAGAAAGAAAUAGAAUGCUGAAGAUUAAUCCAUAAUUAAGAUCUCAGCUUAGUUCCUGGAAAUGCUUCAAGCAUGAAGAGCUUCAAGGAACUGAUUGACUCUGCUGUGAAAGAUGAUAAGUGAUGAGAAUGGGGCAGCAAUCUUGCAUCAAUUUGUCUCCUCCUUGAUUUGAUUCCACCACCCUGGAAAGACAUGGAAAGAUGUGCUCAUAUCAAGCUGAACAACACCUUGUUGUCUUCAAAAGGAGACCAGCGUACAAGAACACCUUGAUUGCAUUGAACCGACCACACAGCAUACCUGCUCGCUGCCGGUGGGGAUCAACUCAAAUACUACUAUACCUGCUCGCUGAUGGGACAAAGAGGGACUGCAUUCAUGGAUGCUACACAACUGUUGACAAGUAGAUUUUUGCAAUCUUGUUCAAAUCCACCUGUCAUAUUUGUUAAUGUAUAGGCAAACUGGGUGAUUUUAUGCUUUUUCCCUUUUCUCUUUUUUUUCUCUGCUAAACUCCUAAUGAAUGUGACAAUUUGACUUUUUCCAUAUAUGGCAUAUGUUUUAAAGGGGCCACUUUGCCAUUUGUUGAAUAAACUUUGGAUUUGUA